CACGUAGGGGGCAAGCGUUGUCCGGAUUUAUUGGGCGUAAAGAGCUCGUAGGCGGUUUGUCGCGUCGACUGUGAAAGCCCGGGGCUCAACUCCGGGUCUGCAGUCGAUACGGGCAGACUAGAGUUCGGUAGGGGAGACUGGAAUUCCUGGUGUAGCGGUGAAAUGCGCAGAUAUCAGGAGGAACACCGGUGGCGAAGGCGGGUCUCUGGGCCGAUACUGACGCUGAGGAGCGAAAGCGUGGGGAGCAAACAGG
rnacentral:rRNA from 1 species